GUGCUCACUUCGGCAGCACAUAUAUUAAAAUCAGAGCAAUACAGAGAAGGUUAGCGUGGCCCCUGCACAAGAAUGACACGGAAAUUCGUGAAGUGUUCCAUAUUAAA